rnacentral:rRNA from 1 species
GACGAACGCUGGCGGCGUGCCUAACACAUGCAAGUCGAGCGAGUGAAUUUCCUUCGGGAUUGAAGCUAGCGGCGGACGGGUGAGUAACACGUGGGCAACCUGCCUCAUAGAGGGGAAUAGCCUUUCGAAAGGAAGAUUAAUACCGCAUAAGAUUGUAGCUUCGCAUGAAGUCGCAAUUAAAGGAGCAAUCCGCUAUGAGAUGGGCCCGCGGCGCAUUAGCUAGUUGGGGAGGUAACGGCUCACCAAGGCGACGAUGCGUAGCCGACCUGAGAGGGUGAUCGGCCACAUUGGGACUGAGACACGGCCCAGACUCCUACGGGAGGCAGCAGUGGGGAAUAUUGCACAAUGGGGGAAACCCUGAUGCAGCAACGCCGCGUGAUUGAUGACGGCCUUCGGGUUGUAAAGCUCUGUCUUCAGGGACGAUAAUGACGGUACCCGAGGAGGAAGCCACGGCUAACUACGUGCCAGCCGCCGCCGUAA